rnacentral:rRNA from 1 species
AUUGAACGCUGGCGGCAGGCCUAACACAUGCAAGUCGAACGGUAACAGGAAGAAGCUUGCUUCUUUGCUGACGAGUGGCGGACGGGUGAGUAAUGUCUGGGAAACUGCCUGAUGGAGGGGGAUAACUACUGGAAACGGUAGCUAAUACCGCAUAACGUCGCAAGACCAAAGAGGGGGACCUUCGGGCCUCUUGCCAUCGGAUGUGCCCAGAUGGGAUUAGCUAGUAGGUGGGGUAACGGCUCACCUAGGCGACGAUCCCUAGCUGGUGUGAGAGGAUGACCGGCCACACUGGAACUGAGACACGGUCCAGACUCCUAAGGGAGGCAGCAGUGGGGAAUAGUGCGCAAUGGGGGCAAGCCUGAUGCAGCCAUGCCGCGUGUAUGAAGAAGGCCUUCGGGUUGUAAAGUACUUUCUGCGGGGAGGAAGGGAGUAAAGUUAAUACCUUGGCUCAUUGACGUUACCCGCAGAAGAAGCACCGGCUAACUCCGUG